UUUGACCUCAGAUCAGGCAAGACUACCCGCUGAAUUUAAGCAUAUUAAUAAGCGGAGGAAAAGAAACUAACAAGGAUUCCCUCAGUAACGGCGAGUGAAGUGGGAAUGGCUCAAGCUUGAAAUCUCUGUUGCUUGCAACAGCGAAUUGUAGUCUCGAGAAGCGUUUUCCCGGCGGAUCUAUCCUGCCUAAGUUGCUUGGAACAGCACAUCACAGAGGGUGACAAUCCCGUUUGUGGCAGGGCAGACCGUUCAUGAUACGCUUUCCAU
rnacentral:rRNA from 1 species